rnacentral:rRNA from 1 species
CGUGUGUGAAGAAGGCUCUAGGGUUGUAAAGCACUUUCAGUAGGGAGGAAAAGUAUGUAGUUAAUAACUGCAUACCCUGACGUUACCUACAGAAGAAGCACCGGCAAACUCCGUGCCAGCAGCCGCGGUAAU